CCUACGGGAGGCUGCAGUGAGGAAUAUUGGUCAAUGGCCGGGAGGCUGAACCAGCCAAGUCGCGUGAGGGAAGACGGCCCUACGGGUUGUAAACCUCUUUUGUCAGGGAGCAAGGUGCAGGUCGGGACCUGCUGUGCGAGUACCUUAAGAACAAGCAUCGGCUAACUCCGUGCCAGCAGCCGCGGUAAUCCGGAGGAUGCGAGCGUUAUCCGGAUUUAUUGGGUUUAAAGGGUGCGCAGGCGGAGGCACAAGUCAGCGGUAAAAUCGCGGGGCUCAACCCCGCUCCGCCGUUGAAACUGUGUCCCUGGAGUGCGCGAAGGGUAGGCGGAAUGCGUGGUGUAGCGGUGAAAUGCAUAGAUAUCACGCAGAACUCCGAUCGCGAAGGCAGCCUACCGGAGCGCAACUGACGCUCAUGCACGAAAGCGUGGGUAUCGAACAGGAUUAGAUACCCUGGUAGUC
rnacentral:rRNA from 1 species